CAGUGGCGAACGGGUGCGUAACACGUGAGGAACCUGACCAUCGGCGGGGGAUAGCCGGCCCAACGGCCGGGUAAUACCGCGUACGACCUUCGGGGGGCAUCCCCUGGAGGUGAAAGCAGCAAUGCACCGAUGGAGGGCCUCGCGACCUAUCAGCUAGUUGGUGAGGUAACGGCUCACCAAGGCGACGACGGGUAGCUGGUCUGAGAGGAUGGCCAGCCACAUUGGGACUGAGACACGGCCCAGACUCCUACGGGAGGCAGCAGUGGGGAAUCUUGCGCAAUGGGCGAAAGCCUGACGCAGCGACGCCGCGUGUGGGAUGACGGCCUUCGGGUUGUAAACCACUGUCGGGAGGGACGAAGCUCUGACGGUACCUCCAAAGGAAGCACCGGCUAACUCUGUGCCAGCAGCCGCGGUAAUACAGAGGGUGCGAGCGUUGUCCGGAAUCACUGGGCGUAAAGGGCGCGUAGGCGGCCCGAUAAGUAGGGGGUGAAAUCCUGCGGCUUAACUGCAGGGCUGCCUCCUAGACUGUCAGGCUCGAGCACGGUAGAGGCAGAUGGAAUUCCCGGUGUAGCGGUGGAAUGCGUAGAGAUCGGGAAGAACAUCGGUGGCGAAGGCGGUCUGCUGGGCCGUUGC
rnacentral:rRNA from 1 species